UCAGAACAGCCAAGACAGUAUUCUUGCUAGUUAUAACCUAUUUCAUUGCUGCUCUUCAAAAUUCUCAAGAAAGAUUAGUUUUACAGGAAAAUGUCCUGACUAUAACAAGAAAAAAUCUCUCAAAGGAAGUUCCCAUCACCCGAAUCGUAGACAAGAAGCAUAUAAAGGUUACACUAUUUAAGUGCACAGCCACAAAACCUGUCACAAAGAGCAGUACAGAGAGAUGAAACCCACUGGCAAAUACUCAAUGCAAAAUAAACCAAGAUGUAAGCUCCGUGGAAAGUCGCACUGUUCAAACUCAGUGCCAGCCAUUGUAAAACCAGAGAGGCUUUACUCACUUGGCCUGCAUUCCCAAGCAACCCAACUCCAAGAAGCCACAGGGCCAGAGCACCGGGGGACUGCUACAAGCCACACACCACCUAUGGGCUGCAGCCUCAAUCACAAGGACCUGGGUCCCAGGAGAGCAGCACCAGGGAGCAGUGAUUGUGCACACCACAUGUCCCAUGCCCCACCAUGGGGCAGGAAUUUGGCACUGGGCUCAUGCAAACAUGGCAUGGUGCAGCUUCUGGAAGCCAU